AUAAUGGUUUUUUUCAAAACCACCAAAAAGAAUCUCCCAAGCGUCU
rfam:Schistocephalus solidus strain NST_G2 genome assembly, scaffold: SSLN_contig0001880